rnacentral:rRNA from 1 species
UGCUCCAAUAGCGUAUAUUAAAGUUGUUGCAGUUAAAAAGCUCGUAGUUGGAUUUCGGGGCGGCCUGGCUGGUCCGCCGCGAGGCGAGCACUGGUCAGCCGCCCUUCCUCUCGAAAGCCCCGACUGCUCUUCACUGCAGUGGUCGGGUAGUUCGGGACGUUUACUUUGAAAAAAUUAGAGUGUUCAAGGCAGGCUCGCCAGCUUGAAUACAUGAGCAUGGAAUAAUGGAAUAGGACUACGGUCCCUAUUUCGUUGGUUUGACGGACCGAAGUAAUGAUUAAGAGGGACAAUUGGGGGCAUCCGUAUUUCGUAGUCAGAGGUGAAAUUCUUGGACCUACGAAAGACGAACAACUGCGAAAGCAUUUGCCAAGAGUGUUUUCAUUAAUCAAGAACGAAAGUA